AGAGUUUGAUCAUGGCUCAGAUUGAACGCUGGCGGCAGGCCUAACACAUGCAAGUCGAGCGGAUGAAGGGAGCUUGCUCCUGGAUUCAGCGGCGGACGGGUGAGUAAUGCCUAGGAAUCUGCCUGGUAGUGGGGGAUAACGUCCGGAAACGGGCGCUAAUACCGCAUACGUCCUGAGGGAGAAAGUGGGGGAUCUUCGGACCUCACGCUAUCAGAUGAGCCUAGGUCGGAUUAGCUAGUUGGUGGGGUAAAGCCUACCAAGGCGACGAUCCGUAACUGGUCUGAGAGGAUGAUCAGUCACACUGGAACUGAGACACGGUCCAGACUCCUACGGGAGGCAGCAGUGGGGAAUAUUGGACAAUGGGCGAAAGCCUGAUCCAGCCAUGCCGCGUGUGUGAAGAAGGUCUUCGGAUUGUAAAGCACUUUAAGUUGGGAGGAAGGGCAGUAAGUUAAUACCUUGCUGUUUUGACGUUACCAACAGAAUAAGCACCGGCUAACUUCGUGCCAGCAGCCGCGGUAAUACGAAGGGUGCAAGCGUUAAUCGGAAUUACUGGGCGUAAAGCGCGCGUAGGUGGUUCAGCAAGUUGGAUGUGAAAUCCCCGGGCUCAACCUGGGAACUGCAUCCAAAACUACUGAGCCAGAGUACGGUAGAGGGUGGUGAAUUUCCUGUGUAGCGGUGAAAUGCGUAGAUAUAGGAAGGAACACCAGUGGCGAAGGCGACCACCUGGACUGAUACUGACACUGAGGUGCGACAGCGUGGGGAGCAAACAGGAUUAGGUACCCUGGUAGUCCACGCCGUAAACGAUGUCGACUAGCCGUUGGGAUCCUUGAGAUCUUAGUGGCGCAGCUAACGCGAUAAGUCGACCGCCUGGGGAGUACGGCCGCAAGGUUAAAACUCAAAUGAAUUGGCGGGGGCCCGCACAAGCGGUGGAGCAUGUGGUUUAAUUCGAAGCAACGCGAAGAACCUUACCUGGCCUUGACAUGCUGAGUACUUUCCAGAGAUGGAUUGGUGCCUUCGGGAACUCAGACACAGGUGCUGCAUGGCUGUCGUCAGCUCGUGUCGUGAGAUGUUGGGUUAAGUCCCGUAACGAGCGCAACCCUUGUCCUUAGUUACCAGCACCUCGGGUGGGCACUCUAAGGAGACUGCCGGUGACAAACCGGAGGAAGGUGGGGAUGACGUCAAGUCAUCAUGGCCCUUACGGCCAGGGCUACACACGUGCUACAAUGGUCGGUACAAAGGGUUGCCAAGCCGCGAGGUGGAGCUAAUCCCAUAAAACCGAUCGUAGUCCGGAUCGCAGUCUGCAACUCGACUGCGUGAAGUCGGAAUCGCUAGUAAUCGUGAAUCAGAAUGUCACGGUGAAUACGUUCCCGGGCCUUGUACACACCGCCCGUCACACCAUGGGAGUGGGUCGCUCCAGAAGUAGCUAGUCUAACCGCAAGGGGGACGGUUACCACGGAGUGAUUCAUGACUGGGGUGAAGUCGAAACAAGGUA
rnacentral:rRNA from 1 species